UGGAUGCAAAGCUACCUACCCCUGGGAGAA
rnacentral:piRNA from 1 species